GGGCCAUCGUGCAAGUUUGACCACCCUAUUCUUCCAGCUUCUUCAACUGUGGGCGAGCUUGAACAGCAACCUCACUACGGCAACUUCAGCACUGCAGAAGGGGCUGAAAUGGCCGGAGGAGGGAGCGGAAACAGUGCCACAGUUGAGCAGUCUGCAUAAGAAGUUUGUGCAGAGAGGCCUCCUAGAUAAUAGGAUUUUUCAUGGAGCAUUUGUUUGGGACAAGGAUAUAUUCGACUCGUUUUCAUCGGGUUGAGCUGCCAUAAGCUUUUCAAAUGAUGGCACUUAUUUUCUAUAAUUUACGUUGAACAAAGGAAAAAUGUAAAUUAUACUUAAAUUUCUCUCAUGUAUUGACCUAAUACACAGUGGCUAGAAUCUUGUAG
rnacentral:misc_RNA from 1 species